rnacentral:rRNA from 1 species
GUGCAGCAGGCGAGAAUCUUCCACAAUGGGGGAAACCCUGAUGGAGCGACGCCGCGUGCGGGAUGAAGGCCCUAUGGGUUGUAAACCGCUGUUCAGUGGAAAGAACAUCCUCCGGCUGAAUAGGUCGGAGGCCUGACGUUACCACUGCAGAAAGUCCCGGCCAACUCCGUGCCAGCAGCCGCGGAAUACGGGGGGGACGAGCGUUGUCCGGGAAUCAUUGGGCGUAAAGGGCGCGUAGGCGGCGAGGAAAGUCGAAUGUGAAAUCUUGCGGCUCGAACUGCAAAACUGCGUUCGAAACUUCCUCGCUUGAGUAUGAGAGAGGUGUGCGGAAUUCCGUGGUGUAGCGGUGGAAUGCGUAGAUAUC